ACCCUUGUUCCUAGUUGCCAGCAUUGAGUUGGGCACUCUAGGGAGACUGCCGGUGACAAACCGGAGGAAGGUGAGGAUGACGUCAAGUCAGCAUGCCCCUUACGCUCUGGGCUACACACGUGCUACAAUGGCGCGGACAAAGGGUUGCGAGCGCGCGAGCGUGAGCCAAUCCCAAAAACCGCGUCUCAGUUCAGAUCGCAGGCUGCAACUCGCCUGCGUGAAGGCGGAAUCGCUAGUAAUCGCAGAUCAGCAUGCUGCGGUGAAUACGUUCCCGGGCCUUGUACACACCGCCCGUCACACCAUGGGAGCUGGCCAUGCCCGAAGUCGGAGCACCCGCCGAAGGCAGGGCUGGUGACUGGGGUGAAGUCGUAACAAGGUAGCCGUACCGGAAGGUGCGGCUGGAUCACCUCCUUU
rnacentral:rRNA from 2 species